rnacentral:snRNA from 1 species
GUGCACAAUUUGGUAGCACAUAUACUAAAAUUGGAACAAUACAGGGAAGAUUAGCAGGGCCCUGGGCAAAGAUGACACAAAUUCAUGAAACAUUCCAUAUUUUU